UAUUACUUUGUGUCUCUUAGUCAACCUGAUCUGGUCUAUGUUCGUGGGGAGGGCAUCAUGGGCAAUCUCCACCCCAUGCCCACUCCCCCCGCACUCGCCCAUGCUCGUCGCACAGACCAAAGCAGGCACUCCCGCACCCACUCCCUCAUAUCGGUGCACCAUCCAGCACACCCCCACUAAUGAUCCUUCCGCAGGUUCACCUAUGGAAA
rnacentral:misc_RNA from 1 species